rnacentral:rRNA from 1 species
CAGCAGCCACGGUAAUACGUAGGUGGCAAGCGUUGUCCGGAAUUAUUGGGCGUAAAGGGCUCGCAGGCGGUUUCUUAAGUCUGAUGUGAAAGCCCCCGGCUCAACCGGGGGGGGUCAUUGGAAACUGGGAAACUUGAGUGCAGAAGAGGAGAGUGGAAGUCCACGUGUAGCGGUGAAAUGCGUAGAGAUGUGGAGGAACACCAGUGGCGAAGGCGACUCUCUGGUCUGUAACUGACGCUGAGGAGCGAAAGCGUGGGGAGCGAACAGGAUUAGAUACCCGCGUAGUCCCUGUCUCUUAUAC